GCGCGUAGCUCAGCUGGUUAGAGCACUACCUUGACAUGGUAGGGGUCGUUGGUUCGAGUCCAAUCGCGCCUACCA
rnacentral:tRNA from 1 species